AACGAACGCUGGCGGCACGCCUAACACAUGCAAGUCGAACGGUAACGGCUCUUCGGAGGCCGACGAGUGGCGGACGGGUGAGUAACGCGUAGCUACCUGCCCUCUGGCGGGGAUAACAGUUGGAAACGACUGCUAAUACCGCAUAUCUCCUACGGGAGAAAGACCUUCGGGUCACCAGAGGAGGGGGCUGCGUUGGAUUAGCUAGUUGGUAAGGUAACGGCUUACCAAGGCGACGAUCCAUAGCUGGUCUGAGAGGAUGAUCAGCCACACUGGGACUGAGACACGGCCCAGACUCCUACGGGAGGCUGCAGUCAAGAAUUUUCCUCAAUGGACGAAAGUCUGAAGGAGCGACGCCGCGUGACCGAUGAAGUCUCUAGGGAUGUAAAGGUCUUUUCUGAAGGAAGAAACCAUGACGGUACUUCAGGAAUAAGGGGUUGCUAACUCUGUGCCAGCCGCCGCGGUAAU
rnacentral:rRNA from 1 species